rnacentral:rRNA from 1 species
UUAACACACACCUCGCACCGGAGCGCGGAGGCGGUCACGCCGUAAAACGCCCAACUUUCUUAGAGUUGACCUCGG